UACGGUAGGGGCAAGCGUUGUCCGGAAUCAUUGGGCGUAAGAGCGUGUAGGCGGUUCAGUAAGUCUGCCUGUGGAAAAGUCCAAGGCUCAACCUUGGGAUGCCGGUGGAUACUGCUGGGCUAGAGUACGGAAGAGGCGAGUGGAAUUCCCGGUGUAGCGGUGAAAUGCGCAGAAUAUCGGGAGGAACACCUAUUGCGAAGGCAGCUCGCUGGGACGUCACUGACGCUGAGACGCGAAAGCGUGGGGAGCAAACAGG
rnacentral:rRNA from 1 species